ACGAACGCUGGCGGCGUGCCUAAUACAUGCAAGUCGAACGGUCUUUCUAUGGAAGCUUGCUUCCACUGAGAAGAUAGUGGCGAACGGGUGAGUAACACGUGGGUAACCUGCCCAUAAGAGGGGGAUAACAUCCGGAAACGGGUGCUAAUACCGCAUAGUUUUCUUGAUCGCAUGAUCGGGAAAGGAAAGACGGCCUUUGUGCUGUCGCUUAUGGAUGGACCCGCGGCGUAUUAGUUAGUUGGUGAGGUAACGGCUCACCAAGACGAUGAUACGUAGCCGACCUGAGAGGGUGAUCGGCCACAUUGGGACUGAGACACGGCCCAAACUCCUACGGGAGGCAGCAGUAGGGAAUCUUCCGCAAUGGACGAAAGUCUGACGGAGCAACGCCGCGUGAGUGAAGAAGGUUUUUCCGGAUCGUAAAACUCUGUUGUCAGAGAAGAACAAGUUGGAGAGUAACUGCUCCAGCCUUGACGGUAUCUGACCAGAAAGCCACGGCUAACUACGUGCCAGCAGCCGC
rnacentral:rRNA from 1 species